UGCCACAGCCAUAUCACCCUGCAGCCCAAAACUGGUUACGCACUGAAGCUAAGCAAGGCUGAGCCUGGUCAGUACCUGGAUGGGAGACAUGGGAAAACCAGGUUGCUGUUGGAA
rnacentral:rRNA from 1 species